rnacentral:rRNA from 1 species
AUUGAACGCUGGCGGCAUGCCUUACACAUGCAAGUCGAACGGCAGCGGGGGUGCUUGCACCUGCCGGCGAGUGGCGAACGGGUGAGUAAUGCAUCGGAACGUACCCAGUCGUGGGGGAUAACGCAGCGAAAGCUGUGCUAAUACCGCAUACGUCCUGAGGGAGAAAGCAGGGGAUCUUCGGACCUUGUGCGAUUGGAGCGGCCGAUGUCGGAUUAGCUAGUUGGUGAGGUAAAAGCUCACCAAGGCGACGAUCUGUAGCUGGUCUGAGAGGAUGAUCAGCCACACUGGAACUGAGACACGGUCCAGACUCCUACGGGAGGCAGCAGUGGGGGAUUUUGGACAAUGGGGGCAACCCUGAUCCAGCCAUGCCGCGUGAGUGAAGAAGGCCUUCGGGUUGUAAAGCUCUUUCGGCCGGGAAGAAAUCGUGCAGGCUAAUACCCUGUAUGGAUGACGGUACCGGAAUAAGAAGCACCGGCUAACUACGUGCCAGCAGCCGCGGUAAGAC